CCUACGGGAGGCAGCAGUGAGGAAUAUUGGUCAAUGGUCGUGAGUCUGAACCAGCCAAGUAGCGUGAAGGAUGACUGCCCUAUGGGUUGUAAACUUCUUUUAUAUGGGAAUAAAAUGCUCCACGUGUGGUGUUUUGUAUGUACCAUAUGAAUAAGGAUCGGCUAACUCCGUGCCAGCAGCCGCGGUAAUACGGAGGAUCCGAGCGUUAUCCGGAUUUAUUGGGUUUAAAGGGAGCGUAGGUGGAUUGUUAAGUCUGUUGUGAAAGUUUGGGGCUCAACCGUAGAAUUGCAGUUGAAACUGGCAGUCUUGAGGACAGGAGAGGUGGGCGGAAUUCGUGGUGUAGCGGUGAAAGGCUUAGAUA
rnacentral:rRNA from 1 species